CCUACGGGAGGCUGCAGUGAGGAAUAUUGGUCAAUGGACGAGAGUCUGAACCAGCCAAGUAGCGUGAAGGAUGACUGCCCUAUGGGUUGUAAACUUCUUUUAUAAAGGAAUAAAACGAGGCACGUGUGCCUUUUUGCAUGUACUUUAUGAAUAAGGAUCGGCUAACUCCGUGCCAGCAGCCGCGGUAAUACGGAGGAGCCGAGCGUUAUCCGGAUUUAGUGGGUUUAAAGGGAGCGUAGAUGGGUUGUUAAGUCAGUUGUGAAAGUUUGCGGCUCAACCGUAAAAUUGCAAUUGAUACUGGCAGUCUUGAGUACAGUUGAGGUAGGCGGAAUUCGUGGUGUAGCGGUGAAAUGCUUAGAUAUCACGAAGAACCCCGAUUGCGAAGGCAGCUUACUAAACUGUGACUGACAUUGAUGCUCGAAAGUGUGGGUAUCAAACAGGAUUAGAUACCCUUGUAGUC
rnacentral:rRNA from 1 species